rnacentral:rRNA from 1 species
AGAGAGAGACAUGCGCGCAUAUCAAUAAGCGGAGGAAAAGAAACUAACUAGGAUUCCCUCAGUAACGGCGAGUGAAGCGGGAAGAGCUCAAAUUUGAAAUCUUCGAGGUUCUACCUUGACGAAUUGUAGUUUAAAGAAGUGUUUUCUGUUGGAGUUUUGGUAAAAGUUCUUUGGAAUAGGACAUCAUAGAGGGUGAGAAUCCCGUAUUUGACCAUUAUUUUCAGCUUUGUGAUACACUUUCAAAGAGUCGGAUUGUUUGGGAAUGCAGUCCAAAAUGGGUGGUAAAUUUCAUCUAAAGCUAAAUAUUGGCGAGAGACCGAUAGCGAACAAGUACCGUGAGGGAAAGAUGAAAAGAACUUUGAAAAGAGAGUUAAACAGUACGUGAAAUUGUCAAAAGGGAAGCGUUUGACACCAGUGUUGUUUUCUCGAAAAUCAAUUAAAAAAGGCAGGAUUUUGUGUUGUAUUGACCUUUAUCAGCUUUCUGCACUCUUUUCUUGUCUUUUUUUAAUGCACUUUUCGUUUAACAAGUCAACAUCAAUUUCUUUUGUUGUAAAAGGGUCAUUGGAAGGUGGCUUUCUUUUCGGAGAAAGUGUUUAUAGCCUUUGGCCUCUGCAAUCGGAGAGAUUGAGGUCUGCAGCGUAGAUCCUUCGGGGUUAGAUACAUUUGUGCUAAGUUAUAGCCUUUCAUAGACAACUUGUUGACUAUGAUCAGUCAUGUAGCUUACUCGCUUAUGUUAUUUUACCUACGCUUAGGAUGUUGAUGUGAUACUGCGAGCA